UUCCAAUCUCAGUUGUAGAGUAUAUGAAACAUAAGCUUGGUGAUGACACAAAGGUUGAGAUAUUGAAGACAAAAGGUCACCUUCCUUAGGUCACAGCUUAUCCUUUACUGUUGGAAGUAUUAAAGAGAGUGCUUUAAAUUAAUGAUUAACAUGAGAGGGUAUUUUAGAAAUCUCUCUACUCCCUACCUCUUGUUUUCUCUUAUUUG